CAUUCCCCCAUCUACACAGUUGAAUCUCUCUUCAGAUCUCACCGGAAUCCGUCCCUCUUCAUCAUCUCAAUCACAUCUCCGAACCUUUCAGAUCUCUCUUCCCGGUUUCACCCUAAGUUUCAUUUUUUAGCCGUCAGGAAGAAGAGAUCUGGCUAUAAAUGUCAAUUUUUAGGGAUUUGAUUAUGGCACAAUAUCAUGAGAAGAAGAUGUUUGGUCCGUUUGGAGUAACAACCACGAAGAAGAAGAGGAGGAGGAAGAAGAAGAAGUUGAGAUGAAACACGAUGAAGAAGAAAACGGAAGAUCAAAUAAUCCGAAGACGACAACGGCAGAGAAGAAUUACACCGAUGAAAUUAGAUCAAGUGGAGGAGAAGGUGGUACUGAUUUUACUAUUGGAGCAGGGGUUUAUGUGCUGGAGAUGAUUUUUGUUGAAGAAGAAGAAGAUGUAUAAUCAGGUAGGACAUAUUCUGAUCAGAAUCGAGGAUGGCCGACCAAAGACACUGUUUAGGAUGCAAAUUUCUGCAUAGACCAUGUCCAGAAGGGUGUCGUUAUAUUCGACUGUUUCAUGCAUACUUCGACGUAUCAAGAUUCACCGUAGGAGAUUCAGCUUCUCCUACUGAUGGGCAACAAAUAGAAGACCCAGCUUCUCCUACUAAUAGACAGCAAAUAGAAGACCCAGCUUCUCCUACUGAAAGACAGCAAAUGGAAGGCCGUAUAAUGGAUAGCACCAAAAGAUUUGAAACAAAGGCUAGAAAUGAUGAACCUGUUUUGGGGGCAACAGGAAUCCUUUUAGCACUACAUGAGCGUGUGAGAGAUGAAGUUAGCCGCUUUAAUACCAUUGUGGGCCUGAGUCGCUACAUUAAAAGUAUAGAGAAUGUCGCAUACCUUACUCGACCAGAGACAAUUAAUCAUUUUGUCCUAGCAGAUACGGAAAUUCUUGGACAGCAACACCGAGCUUGUCCAGUGUGCAUGUAUCUACCCCAAAAGUGUGAGGAGAGUUGUCCAUUUGUUUGAUUCUUUGAAGAACAUGUAUCUGGAGGUUCCAUCAGAAAUUUUUAUGCACUACUUUUGGGCACAACAGAUGUGUUGCCUGGUCGCCUUAAUCCUUGGUCAGCUGAUGACAUAGCUAUUAUAAAUACUAAAACAGUGGAAUUCGAAGAUAAUGCUAGGGUCCACGAUCCUGUUUAUGGGAUAACAGGAAUAAUUUUAUCAUUGUACAGGAGGUGGCGGAACCUUAAUCGGCAGGUUAAUUUGAUUGAAAGAGGCAGAGCAACAGCAUCUGAAUGUGCAGAAUUUUUCUACUGCUCAAAUUGGUUCUUGUGACAGUACUACAGACGAAGGAAAAAGGAUUGUGGUCCCAGAAUCAACAAGCAUUGCACACGAUGAAUUUGAAUAUUUGAAUCACCGUCUCUUCAUGGAAGAAGAUAACGAGUCUCUUCAUAGCAGAGAAAAACUGUUGGGGAAGUAUAUGGAGUUCCAACAUGAAGUUGCAUCACUCACGCCGUUACCACAAGAAUGGAAUUAUUCUUUCUUCUUUCUACAAGGAGAAUCUUCAAACAGUUCUCCUUCAGUUGCUCACCAAAUGAACCAGUCAUCAGAUGAUCGGUUGCAGCAGCAACCAGAACAACUUCCAGAUAGGCUACCUGUUCAGGGCAUUCCACAACGAAUUGCAGAGAAUGUUCCACAAAAUGUACCAUCACAGCUACAACAACUGGCAGCUCCUUCUCAUAGCCAACAAGGCGCUUCAUCAUCAUUAAGAGCGUUAACUUCGUCUCAACAAGGAAUGAGCAGCAGUAGCACAGGAACACCACCAACAAGUGCUACCACAGACUCUGCAUAGCCUAAAAGGAACUGGUGAUGUCAUUAGGGACUACGGAAGUUUGUUACAGCACUAAAGUAAAGAACUAUUGAAGAAACAGAAAGAUCGGGUUAUGGAUGUUUCACCCUAGAGAUGAAUUUAGCUAGCUAAUUAUUGCUCACCCAUCGUGAAUCGACCCUCAGCUAUAGAUUAGUAUGUAUGGUUGUUGUAGUGGCAGUAGUAACUUUGACGUUCUAGUUUACGUUCCUGCCUAUAUCAAUACCACCAUCCCUAGCUCUGAUUUCAUGUCUUCAGUACUUCUUAUCAUUUGGUUGUAUGUCUUGCUGAUGAAGGUAUACUACAAUAUAGUCCUUGAUCUUUGAAGAACCACAUGGGUUCCUCUUUG